rnacentral:misc_RNA from 1 species
UCUCCGUUGGUGAACCAGCGGAGGGAUCAUUGCUGGAACUGUGUCCGCAAGGACACAACCCCAGAUACCCUUUGUGAACUUAUUCUUAUAUCGUUGCCUCGGCGCUGAGCUGGGGGCUUCUUUCCAAGGAGCUCUCCCAUGGUCUCUCGGGACGAUGGAGCAAGCCCGCCGGCGGCCCUUCUAAACUCUUGUUUUUAUUACGUAUCUCUUCUGAGUUAUUCAAAACAAAAUGAAUCAAAACUCUCAACAACGGAUCUCUUGGUUCUG